rnacentral:misc_RNA from 1 species
GCGAAACACGAUAGAGAGUCGAAGCAGACGUCCGGGUAGAGGGUGGCAGAGCAGCAGGCGUGGAUGAAUUCAAUUGACCGGCCAGACGAUGGCCCAUUUACCGGGCUUGGAGAUGAUGGCCCGUUUACCGGGCUUGGAGCAGUGCUGGCAAGGGCGGAGUAGACGAGGGCGGAGAGGAGGAGGAGAAGGAGACUCCAGUUUGCUGUUCCCAUUGGUUAUGAGUUAUGUAGGCAGUUAUGUUCUUUUGUUCGC